UCACUCUCUCAGGCAAGACUCUGAAAAAAGAAAAAAACUCUUCUGCUAUUGAAUCUCACCCGUCAUUGAAACCAGAGGAAGCCAGGUAUGGGUAAUGAUCAGGGUUUGAAUCGAUUGAUGAUGCUUUUUCUGUUAGGGUUUGGCUUAUUCCCCAACGAGAGGGCUCGACUAAUUCUGUUUUUCUAUUCUAUCUUCUUCUCCUCUUUCCUCGUAUUCUUCAUCUUCGUCUCGUCUCUGCAUGAACAGAGAAUUAUUUAAAGAGAACUUAUUAAAUUAAUAAGUCAAGAAAGGUUGAUGAGAUUGUGAGUCUGAUUAUGUUAGGGUUAUUGUGGAUUGAAGAAAGGAAAAUCAUUAAAAUUAGGGUUCUGUUGCAUUGAUGAUAGAUUGAUUAAGAAACUAUUAGGGUUGGGUUUUGAGAACAUAAUAUGAGGAAGAAGAGUUGACAGUUGAUUCUCAAUCGAAGAAUCAGGGUUUCAUUUUAGGUCUGAGAUUAGGAGAAACUAGGGUUUGCCUGAGCUGCGAUUUGAAGAGGGUUUGUUUGAAUUGAGGUUUGUAUUUUUUUAAUUAUUGGAUUCGAACUCCAUAGAUUAGGGUUCUUGAUAGAACAAAGGUAUAGGGUUCAUGGGUUUAAACUUUACAUGAAAGAGAUGGAAUUGAUGGUGAGAAAUUAAAAAAAGAAGAUUCUGAAUCGAAUCAAGUAAAGAAGAAUCUGAUUCAAUUGGUGAAAUUAUCUUGAGAUGGAAUUGAGUUCUAUAGUGGUAGUUUUGUAUCUGUUGGCAGUGGUUUGAAGGAUUGUAUGUAUUGGUGGUGGUGGAUAUGAAUGUUACAGGUGGUGAACUAUUGUUGAUAUUGGACAUUUCAGUUGGAAGGAAUUUGCAGAGUCGGUGGUGAUGUUGUUGGUUUUACAACUCCAGCAGAGACUAAAGAAAGCAGAUUAUUAAUUAGAAGUUCAAUUUGAAGAGUCAACACUCAAUUUGAAGUCUUUUCCGUUGUUAUUAUUUUUCAAUUUGAAGUUCAGAUUAACUGUUUGUUGUGAUGAUUGUUCUUAUGUGUGGAAAAUGAUCGGCUGAUGUCUUCUUAUUUGGUUGAUUCUGUGGAUUUUAUAGGUUGAGUAUUUUCAGUGAUGCAAAUUUCGCGAAAUCUUUGAGAAGCUAGAGUGCAAAAUCUCUUCCGGCAAAAAUGCUGUUCGGAUUUGCUGCUUAAACAUUCCUCUACUUAUUUUGAGACAUUGAUGAGUGUAGGUGAUCAAUUAACCUCAGACAUGGGAACGUAAUUUGCUAAACUGCUACGUCCUAACGAGGUAAAGUGAAAUUUGAGUUUGUAUUGCAGUUAUUGGCUGAUUCAGUAAAUGAGCUUGUUGCCAAGCAUAUUCAUUCAUUGCCAUCUAGAACAAUGGUAGGCUAUAUUCUAAUAUGAUAGAAGUAUCAACGUGAAGCGUUUCCCCCUCAUAUUAUAAGGUCUUUCACACUGGGCACUCCUGUCCUAGGAAUUCCUUGACCAGGUAGUGUACAAAAGUGCCCUGUUGCUUUAAUGCGUAGGUGAACUUUCUUGUGCCGUCGCUAGAGAGAUCUGGGUACGGAGAUAACAGUAAACUGCGAUAAACUCUGGUAUUCAGGUAUACCUUCAAGUUUUGUUACAGUAAACUCCACAUCAUCGAGUUUUAUCGCUGCUGGAAGAAGCCUCCUGAACUCUUUUAAACACAUCAUCAACUUUGUUUCGACCCUUUAAUCAUCAGUACCCUGGUAUCUGUUCUAGCUGUGCAUUAGUUGCAGUCUGCCACUGUUUUCUCCAUCAGUACUUUAAGAAAAUUUUCAUCACUCUUAGUAGCCUGUUUGUUCUGAAAUUUGAUUUAUUCUGAUUUGCUGCCUUGUCAGUUCUGACCAGAACUUUAAAGGAGAAACUGCUUUUCUCUUCUAUGUUCGACCGUUCUACCAAGGUGGUUAGAAUGUUGAGCUGAGCAAGUAGGAUACUGUGGUCCAGAUUUAUUUGGUAUUCUAACCUUUCUUACGCAUUCACAGGGCUGUGAGAGAUAAAUCGCAGAAAAUGGAAAUCAUACUUCAGAUGAGGCUAAGAAUGAAAGCAUCAUGAGGUUAUUCUGGCCUCGUGUUCACUCCGAACAGCCAGAAGUUGUCCAGCGAGGAAUAGCUAUGCUUCAAGUGCAGCAAACCACCGUGAGAAAGAAGCUUAAAUGAAGAAGAAAAUCAAGAAGCAACCGGUGGAAGCUGAGAAAGAACAAGGAAGGCGAGAUAAGAAAACAGCUGAUUCACAAGUAGGAGUUUCUUAUAUUCUUUGUAUGUGUCUUCUCACUUCUGAAACUAAACUAAGAAUCCAGAAGAAAUGUAGUCACAAAUGAUAAACACAGUUGUUGCCUUCCCUUUCUUUUGUAAAAUGUUUUUGAUGUUCAAACAUAUCAAUAUUAAUGGCGAAGAAUUUGAUUGAUCGAUUGAAUC